AUUGAACGCUGGCGGCAUGCCUUACACAUGCAAGUCGAACGGUAACGGGCCUUCGGGUGCCGACGAGUGGCGAACGGGUGAGUAAUGUAUCGGAACGUACCUUUCAGUGGGGGAUAACGUAGCGAAAGUUACGCUAAUACCGCAUAUUCUGUGAGCAAGAAAGCAGGGGAUCGCAAGACCUUGCGCUGAUUGAGCGGCCGAUAUCAGAUAAGCUAGUUGGUGAGGUAAAAGCUCACCAAGGCGACGAUCUGUAGCGGGUCUGGGAGGAUGAUCCGCCACACUGGAACUGAGACACGGUCCAGACUCCUACGGGAGGCAGCAGUGGGGAAUUUUGGACAAUGGGGGCAACCCUGAUCCAGCCAUGCCGCGUGAGUGAAGAAGGCCUUCGGGUUGUAAAGCUCUUUCGGCCGGGAAGAAAUCGUAUCAGCUAAUACCUGGUGCGGAUGACGGUACCGGCAUAAGAAGCACCGGCUAACUACGUGCCAGCCGCCGCCGUAAAAC
rnacentral:rRNA from 1 species